rnacentral:rRNA from 1 species
GAUGAACGCUGGCGGCGUGCCUAAUACAUGCAAGUCGAGCGAACGGACGAGAAGCUUGCUUCUCUGAUGUUAGCGGCGGACGGGUGAGUAACACGUGGAUAACCUACCUAUAAGACUGGGAUAACUUCGGGAAACCGGAGCUAAUACCGGAUAAUAUUUUGAACCGCAUGGUUCAAAAGUGAAAGACGGUCUUGCUGUCACUUAUAGAUGGAUCCGCGCUGCAUUAGCUAGUUGGUAAGGUAACGGCUUACCAAGGCAACGAUGCAUAGCCGACCUGAGAGGGUGAAGCGAAACAGAGGAAGAGAACAAGGGACAGACCGCAGAGGGGGGGAGGAGGGAGGAAUUCGCCAGAAAGGGGAAAAAGCGGGAAGAAAAAGCGGGGGGGGAGUAAGAAGGGUGUAGGAAUCAAAAAACUGUUUUAGGGGGAAAAAAAAUAGGGGAAAGUAAGGGUGCAAAUCUGGAGGAAACAAAACAAAAAAACAAGGAAAAACAAGGGA